UACGUAGGAGACGAGCGUUGUCCGGAGUUACUGGGCGUAAAGGGCGCGUAGGCGGCCGCCUAAGUCAGACGUGAAAUCCCUCGGCUCAACCGGGGAACUGCGUCUGAUACUGGGUGGCUUGAAUCCGGGAGAGGGAUGCGGAAUUCCAGGUGUAGCGGUGAAAUGCGUAGAUAUCUGGAGGAACACCGGUGGCGAAGGCGGCAUCCUGGACCGGCAUUGACGCUGAGGCGCGAAAGCCAGGGGAGCAAACGGG
rnacentral:rRNA from 1 species